rnacentral:sRNA from 1 species
CAAUAAGGAGACAAGCUAAAAUUGCCGCGUCCUGCGGCAACGCUUGCAUGACCAACAUCCUGUUGG